UAGCCAUGUUGUGGGCAGUGACGUAAUAAGUCUUUGAAUUGCUCUCAUGCUUCAUAUAGUUGUUUUGAAUCAAACUGCCUGAACUUUCCAAUCUCACUCCUCAACUG